rnacentral:rRNA from 1 species
UACGGAGGGUGCAAGCGUUGUCCGGAAUCACUGGGCGUAAAGGGCGCGUAGGCGGCUAAGUAAGUCGGGCGUGAAAUCCCACGGCUCAACCGUGGAAGUGCACUCGAAACUGCAUAGCUAGAGUCCUGGAGAGGAAGGUGGAAUGCUUGGUGUAGAGGUGAAAUUCGUAGAUAUCAAGCGGAACACCGGUGGCGAAGGCGGCCUUCUGGACAGUGACUGACGCUGAGACGCGAAAGCGUGGGGAGCAAACAGG